GACGAACGCUGGCGGCGUGCCUAAUACAUGCAAGUAGAACGCUGAAGGAGGAGCUUGCUUCUCUGGAUGAGUUGCGAACGGGUGAGUAACGCGUAGGUAACCUGCCUGGUAGCGGGGGAUAACUAUUGGAAACGAUAGCUAAUACCGCAUAACAGUAGAUAUCGCAUGAUAUCUACUUGAAAGGUGCAAUUGCAUCACUACCAGAUGGACCUGCGUUGUAUUAGCUAGUUGGUGAGGUAACGGCUCACCAAGGCGACGAUACAUAGCCGACCUGAGAGGGUGAUCGGCCACACUGGGACUGAGACACGGCCCAGACUCCUACGGGAGGCAGCAGUAGGGAAUCUUCGGCAAUGGACGGAAGUCUGACCGAGCAACGCCGCGUGAGUGAAGAAGGUUUUCGGAUCGUAAAGCUCUGUUGUAAGAGAAGAACGAGUGUGAGAGUGGAAAGUUCACACUGUGACGGUAUCUUAACAGAAAGGGACGGCUAACUACGUG
rnacentral:rRNA from 1 species